UGGGCGGCCAUGACCCUGCUGGAGUGCGGGGGGGACCUCCAGCUCCCCGGGGGGUCCCUGACGUUUCUGUGCCAAGCAUCUGGCUUCAAUUUCACGAAAUCUGCAAUGUUCUGGAUGCGCCAGAAACCCGGGCUGGGGCUUGAAUACGUCGCGGGGAUCAACGGUGAUGGUUCCACCCCCAGAUACGUGCUGUCGGUUAAGGGCCGGUUCAGCAUCUCCAGGGACAACAGGCAGAGCUCGGUGACGCUGACCAUGAACAACCUCAAGGACGAGGAUUCCGGAUCCUAUUUCUGUGCCAAAAACGCCUAUGAUGGAUGA